UCCAACGAGUGCCAGGAAAUUACCGAGUCUCGCUUUGAGUUUUCUGAACAGCUUAUUGUAUGAUCUAAUGCAGACACAUUUUACGGGCAUAGCAAAGUAUUGAUUUUGCUCAUUGUGAAUUAUGUGAAUAUAUAAAAGUGUGAGGGUGCAUAUAUAUUAGGUAAUUAUAUGCUGAAGUGCUAAUGUAAAAAUUCUGCUGAAUAAAUAUGAAAUAAUGCUGCUAUCAGCAUCCAGCGUGUGUCCCUAAAACCAGUCAUUUGAGAUGAUAAUUGGGGUACAAUGUUUGCCUUUAUCUGAUGACAUGGACCAUUGUGAUUGCACUCUACAGCCUCAAUUUAAAUGUGUAUUGAUCAGAGUUGGGCUCAGGAGCUCAAAUCAAAACACCACUGCAGCCCUGCACACUUGUAUAAACUCAUUGUUUUGCACAUCAUAUUUUUAGAGGAAUCUUCGCCUCCUUUGACACAAAUCAUCAAAUAGUUUGUAACUUUGUUCAUUUGCUUUUAUUCACACACUAUUUCCCCCCUAGUAGUGGGCUAAUGUCAUGAUUUAAAUGAAGUAUUGAUCAGUUUAGGAGGGGAGAACAGAGAGAGAGGGAGUGAUUGUGAGAGAAAGAAAGCUAGACCAGGGUUAUCGGCGUGGAUCGCACACAAGAAAGAGGGUGCUAACGGAUGAGACGCGUUUUAGGCGAUUGGGCGAAAUGGAUUUCUGCAUAAAAUGUAUUUUUCAUUUAGGGAGAAACAGCUUGGCUUCUUUGUUCGACAUGUUCCAUGAGGCAAAGAUGGACACCGAGGCUACAAUAGUGCUUUGAGCACAUCAGAAUUUUUUCUUCACGUUUCUUGUUGGUUUUGCGGAGUACUUAGCCCAGCCUACAUCCUGAUGGUUAAAAAGAGAUUUUCCUUGAUCCUGUCUUUGGGUCCGUCUUGUCUCGUCGUGAUUCCUUCGACACCAGUGACACUGCAGCAGCAUCAGGCACUCUGGACUAAAGCCGGUGUCCAACUGAACCAGGAGCUAGUGGUUGGGCAUCCUGAAGCAAAAAUCUCUCAGUCGCCGCCUGACCUGCUGGAGAGCUGAUUGGAUCUCGAGAGGACCAGGAACACAUUGCUUCAGAGCCCGGCUCAGCAGGCCCAGGAGCUCCAGGUUCAGGUUCAAGACUAGGAUGUGUAUUACAGAAGGAAGCAAAGAGCAAAGCGCCAAAAGUAUAAGAGCCCAGGCAGGAUUCAGGAUGAGCGUCUGUAAUUUCUCCAGCCGGCCGUUCGUCUUGAUCGCCCUCUGUUCUCCAUCAGUCUUCACCUUCUGAUCGGGACAUUUUGGUCCAGCACAACCCAUUCCAGCUCAACCUGAACAGCAGCGCCCUCGCCUUUGGGCCUCAGUUACACACCUCAGAAUGGAUCUUUAUUUACAGCACAGAACUCGGAAACAGCUGGUCAAUCCAUUUAGCCUAAGGCCACUGAUUUGUUCGUAUUUACUACAACAGCCAGAGAAAAGCCAGGGUAUUUUUUCCUCUCUCCUUCCUAUUGAUCCGGCGCUUAGAAAUUCUGCCCCGCUGUCUAAACACUAUUGAUCCCCCCCUCUCAACGACAGGCUCUCGCACCAGUGUAUAAAGGGACUGGAUGAAUUGAAAUUUCAUUUCCGACAACUUGUUCCUGUUAUUUUUACCCUUUUUUUCAAUAGUUGGGAACAAGGGCUGGCGGGCCACUACUCAGAGAGUCAAUACAUGUUUGGCUCAGGAGGGGAGACGAGGGAUACAGGUGAGACUGUUUAGCUCGCUCUCAGCAGAUCUCAAUAACAAUAUGCCAUCAACAGGUUUUCUGUCACUUGAAUUCCUGCAUUUUUGUUUAGAAACCUGGUUGGAGAUGUUGGUCAGGCUGAAUAUGGGUAGUUGGUUAUUUCUUCUGACAGCUUCAUUAAAGAGCAGCUGGCUGGAAGCCAUGCAGCAGGUGGUCCCAAAACAUAAACUGUAUAAAAUCCAGAGCAUGUACUAGAUGAGAAAAUGUAGAAGACAUUUUUGUUUUGUAUUGAAAAAAAAAAUAUGUGCACUAAAAUAAGUCUUGUCAUGGACAGCGGGUUUCUCAGAAUCGGCUUUGGACAGUCUG